AAAAACGAGAAAUGAGAGAAAGUCUCAUCCGCGAGUCAGAAUCAUUAGCAGAACUGUGCCGCGUCUGCAAAUUUCAGGCAGGUUAAUUUUUGAUAGCGGAGGAAGAGCGAAGCUUCCAACCAAUUUCCUAAAUCAUCUGUAGGCAAACGGCCAGGGGCAAUCACCUGUGGAUUCCAGCCACAAGGUAUGUUUUGAGAAAGCAGUCGGAUUCCUGAAUGAUUUACAAAGUUUGCCAUCAGACAGUCUUCUGUCAGCGGCUGAGAAUGGAAAUGAGAAACUAGAAAAACACGCACAGCACCCUUUCACCUUAGUGUCAUCAACAGACUGAAACGGGAUGUGCAUUAAGAAGGCCACUGGGGAGGUCCCCAAGCUGUUGGACGCUCCUCCCUGUGAGAAAACGUCUACUUCCUCUCUCCUUCGAGCUGGGAGGUCCUGGGACUGCUUCAAGUAACAGAAUACAGCAGAACGGAUGCUAUGUGACUUCUGGAGUGAGGUCACCAGAGUCAUGCAGCUUUCUCGGUCACCUGGAACACUUGCCCUCUAAAUGUUCUCCUUCCAAACACAGCUGUCGCCCUGAGAAGUCCAAGGUCCGUGGAGAGACCACGUGUUUGUUCUCCACAGCACAGCUGGACAUGGCCUUGUCGUCACCACAGCCCAGGGGCAAGCACGUGCAUGAAGGACUGUCCAGAUGUGUGCAAAGGACUGUCCAGAUGUGUGGAGGCCGCAGAACCCCCAAGCCUGAGACUCUGGAUUUGUCCUCACUGAGGCCAUGGACUCUGUGGACAGACACAAACUCUCAUGUUGACGACCUGCCAGAAUUCUACCACAUAAAGUGUGAACUCUGCCACAUAAACCAACAAAAUGGUGGUUGUUUUAUGUCCUCUGACUUGGAAUAG
rnacentral:lncRNA from 1 species